AUAUGGCUCAGAGUUAGAGCACUGACUUAGCAUGUGAGAUGUUCUGGGUUUAACUCCUAGUAU
rnacentral:tRNA from 1 species